rnacentral:rRNA from 1 species
AACGAACGCUGGCGGCAGGCUUAACACAUGCAAGUCGAACGCCCCGCAAGGGGAGUGGCAGACGGGUGAGUAACGCGUGGGAACAUACCCUUUUCUACGGAAUAGCUCUGGGAAACUAGAAUUAAUACCGUAUACGCCCUACAGGGGAAAGAUUUAUCGGGGAAGGAUUGGCCCGCGUUGGAUUAGCUAGUUGGUGGGGUAAAGGCCUACCAAGGCGACGAUCCAUAGCUGGUCUGAGAGGAUGAUCAGCCACAUUGGGACUGAGACACGGCCCAAACUCCUACGGGAGGCAGCAGUGGGGAAUAUUGGACAAUGGGCGCAAGCCUGAUCCAGCCAUGCCGCGUGAGUGAUGAAGGCCUUAGGGUUGUAAAGCUCUUUCACCGAUGAAGAUAAUGACGGUAGUCGGAGAAGAAGCCCCGGCUAACUUCGUGCCAGCCGCCGCGGUAAAAC